rnacentral:rRNA from 1 species
GUAAUGCCGGAUGCUCCAACUUACCGCAUGGUUUGUUGGGAAAGCUUUCGCGGUAUGGGAUGGGGUCGCGUCCUAUCAGCUUGACGGCGGGGUAACGGCCCACCGUGGCUUCGACGGGUAGCCGGCCUGAGAGGGCGACCGGCCACAUUGGGACUGAGAUACGGCCCAGACUCCUACGGGAGGCAGCAGUGGGGAAUAUUGCACAAUGGGCGCAAGCCUGAUGCAGCGACGCCGCGUGAGGGAUGGAGGCCUUCGGGUUGUAAACCUCUUUUAUCGGGGAGCAAGCGAGAGUGAGUUUACCCGUUGAAUAAGCACCGGCUAACUACGUGCCAGCAGCCGCGGUAAUACGUAGGGUGCAAGCGUUAUCCGGAAUUAUUGGGCGUAAAGGGCUCGUAGGCGGUUCGUCGCGUCCGGUGUGAAAGUCCAUCGCUUAACGGUGGAUCCGCGCCGGGUACGGGCGGGCUUGAGUGCGGUAGGGGAGACUGGAAUUCCCGGUGUAACGGUGGAAUGUGUAGAUAU